rnacentral:rRNA from 1 species
CUGCGAAUGGCUCAUUAUAUAAGUUAUCGUUUAUUUGAUAGUACCUUACUACUUGGAUAACCGUGGUAAUUCUAGAGCUAAUACAUGCUGCCAACCCCGACUCCGGAAGGGGCGUAUUUAUUAGAUCCAAAGCCAACGCCCUCCUGGGGCUCCUUGGUGAUUCAUGAUAACUCUUCGAAUCGCACGGCCUUGCGCCGGCGAUGGUUCAUUCAAAUUUCUUCCCUAUCAACUUUCGAUGUUUGGGUAUUGGCCAAACAUGGUCGCAACGGGUAACGGAGGGUUAGGGCUCGACCCCGGAGAAGGAGCCUGAGAGACGGCUACUACAUCCAAGGAAGGCAGCAGGCGCGCAAAUUACCCAAUCCCGACACGGGGAGGUAGUGACAAUAAAUACUGAUACAGGGCUCUUUAGGGUCUUGUAAUUGGAAUGAGUACAGUUUAAACCCCUUAGCGAGGAACAAUUGGAGGGCAAGUCUGGUGCCAGCAGCCGCGGUAAUUCCAGCUCCAAUAGCGUAUAUUAAAGUUGUUGUGGUUAAAAAGCUCGUAGUUGAACCUUGGGCCUGGCUGGCCGGUCCGCCUCACCGCGUGCACUGGUCCGGCCGGGCCUUUCCCUCUGCGGAACCCCAUGCCCUUCGCUGGGCGUGGCGGGGAGGCAGGACGUUUACUUUGAAAAAAUUAGAGUGCUCAAGGCAGGCCUAUGCUCGGAUACAUUAGCAUGGAAUAAUGAAACAGGACGCGCGGUUCCGUUUCGUUGGCUCUAGGGACCGCCGUAAUGAUCGAUAGGGACAGUCGGGGGCAUCAGUAUUCAGCUGUCAGAGGUGAAAUUCUUGGAUUUGCUGAAGACUAACUACUGCGAAAGCAUUUGCCAAGGAUGUUUUCAUUAAUCAGGAACGAAAGUUAGGGGAUCGAAGACGAUCAGAUACCGUCGUAGUCCUAACCAUAAACUAUGCCGACUAGGGAUCGGACGAUGUUGUCUCUUGACGCGUUCGGCACCUUGCGAGAAAUC